CGCUGUUGUUUACAGGCACGGGCGUAGAGGUAACUCCGCGCCCGUGCGAGCACGUUGAUGGCAGGAAAAGAAAA
rnacentral:sRNA from 1 species